UUGUUCAGGGACUAUCAUAAA
rnacentral:piRNA from 1 species